rnacentral:rRNA from 1 species
UACGUAGGGGGCAAGCGUUGUCCGGAUUUAUUGGGCGUAAAGAGCGUGUAGGCGGCCUUACAGGUCAGCUGUGAAAACUCGAGGCUCAACCUCGAGACGUCGGUUGAAACCGUAUGGCUAGAGUCCGGAAGAGGAGAGUGGAAUUCCCGGUGUAGCGGUGAAAUGCGCAGAUAUCGGGAAGAACACCCGUGGCGAAGGCGGCUCUCUGGGACGGUACUGGACGCUGAGACGCGAAAGCGUGGGGAGCGAACAGG